rnacentral:rRNA from 1 species
CGCGGCCUAUCAGCUUGUUGGUGAGGUAAUGGCUCACCAAGGCGACGACGGGUAGCCGGCCUGAGAGGGUGACCGGCCACACUGGGACUGAGACACGGCCCAGACUCCUACGGGAGGCAGCAGUGGGGAAUAUUGCACAAUGGGCGAAAGCCUGAUGCAGCGACGCCGCGUGAGGGAUGACGGCCUUCGGGUUGUAAACCUCUUUCAGUAGGGAAGAAGCGAAAGUGACGGUACCUGCAGAAGAAGCACCGGCUAACUACGUGCCAGCAGCCGCGGUAAUACGUAGGGUGCGAGCGUUAUCCGGAAUUAUUGGGCGUAAAGAGCUCGUAGGCGGUUUGUCGCGUCUGUCGUGAAAGUCCGGGGCUUAACCCCGGAUCUGCGGUGGGUACGGGCAGACUAGGGUGCAGUAGGGGAGACUGGAAUUCCUGGUGUAGCGGUGGAAUGCGCAGAUAUCAGGAGGAACACCGAUGGCGAAGGCAGGUCUCUGGGCUGUAACUGACGCUGAGGAGCGAAAGCAUGGGGAGCGAACAGGAUUAGAUACCCUGGUAGUCCAUGCCGUAAACGUUGGGCACUAGGUGUGGGGACCAUUCCACGGUUUCCGCGCCGCAGCUAACGCAUUAAGUGCCCCGCCUGGGGAGUACGG